UAGGGAAUCUUCGGCAAUGGGGGGAACCCUGACCGAGCAACGCCGCGUGAGUGAAGAAGGUUUUCGGAUCGUAAAGCUCUGUUGUUAAGGAAGAACGAGUGUGAGAAUGGAAAGUUCAUACUGUGACGGUACUUAACCAGAAAGGGACGGCUAACUACGUGCCAGCAGCCGCGGUAAUACGUAGGUCCCGAGCGUUGUCCGGAUUUAUUGGGCGUAAAGCGAGCGCAGGCGGUUAGAUAAGUCUGAAGUUAAAGGCAGUGGCUCAACCAUUGUAGGCUUUGGAAACUGUUUAACUUGAGUGCAGAAGGGGAGAGUGGAAUUCCAUGUGUAGCGGUGAAAUGCGUAGAUAUAUGGAGGAACACCGGUGGCGAAAGCGACUCUCUGGUCUGUAACUGACGCUGAGGUUCGAAAGCGUGGGUAGCAAACAGG
rnacentral:rRNA from 1 species